UACGUAGGCAGGGAGCGUUGUUCGGAAUUACUGGGCGUAAAGAGUGUGUAGGCGGUGUUCCCAGUCUGUUGUGAAAUCUCCCGGCUUAACUGGGAGGGUGCAGCGGAAACUAGAAUGCUAGAGGGUGGGAGAGGUAAGCGGAAUUCCUGGUGUAGCGGUGAAAUGCGUAGAUAUCAGGAGGAACACCUGUGGUGUAGACAGCUUACUGGACCACUUCUGACGCUGAGACACGAAAGCGUGGGUAGCAAACAGG
rnacentral:rRNA from 1 species